rnacentral:lncRNA from 1 species
CUCUCUCAAAAUGUCCUCUCGGAUCUUUGAAUCUAAAAACACACACAGUCGGUCCCUAUACCGCAGUACUCCCGAACUGUCUACAGCAAAACCCUCAGUCUGUCCCCUCUCAAACCGCUCUCGAAUCCUCGACAAGUAUGGAUCUCCACUCUGUUUGUCUCGGAUCCUAUCCAACAGAGUGGGCUGCAAGACCAUAGACAUCAGUCUCGCAGUAGAUUCAGGGGACACUAUCUCAAGUCUCAGCCGCUGCAACUUCUCGAGUAACGACCUCUGCUGAGUAAUCAACAUGCUCAAGCUCUGCACUGCCUUUCUGCUCAACGCAUCUGCCACCACAUUCGCCUUGCCGGGAUAAUACUGAAUACUAAUAUCAUAGUCCUUCAGUAACUCCAACUACUAGCG